rnacentral:rRNA from 1 species
UACGUAGGCAGCGAGCGUUGUUCGGAGUUACUGGGCGUAAAGGGUGUGUAGGCGGUUGUUUAAGUUUGGUGUGAAAUCUCCCGGCUCAACUGGGAGGGUGCGCCGAAUACUGAAUGACUUGGAGUGCGGGAGAGGAAAGUGGAAUUCCUGGUGUAGCGGUAGAAAUGCGUAGAUAUCAGGAGGAACACCGGUGGUGUAGACGGCUUUCUGGACCGUAACUGACGCUGAGACACGAAAGCGUGGGUAGCAAACAGG